UACAGAGGUCUCAAGCGUUGUUCGGAUUCAUUGGGCGUAAAGGGUGCGUAGGUGGCGCGAUAAGUCGGGUGUGAAAUCUCGGAGCUUAACUCCGAAAUUGCAUUCGAUACUGCCGUGCUCGAGGACUGGAGAGGAGACUGGAAUUUACGGUGUAGCGGUGAAAUGCGUAGAUAUCGUAAGGAAGACCAGUGGCGAAGGCGGGUCUCUGGACAGUUCCUGACGCUGAGGCACGAAGGUCAGGGGAGCAAACGGG
rnacentral:rRNA from 1 species